UACCAGUAAGUCCUGUGAAAUAGAAGUAACAGUUAUAGAGUACAGGUAAGUCCUGUGAAAUACAGGUAAGGGUUAUAGAAUACAAGUAAGUCCUGUGAAAUACAAUUUGGCAUUGUAGAGUACAGGUAAGUCCUGUGAAAUACAUGUAAGAGUUGUAGAAUACCAGUAAGUCCUUUGAAAUAGAAGUGAGAGUUGUAGAGUACAGGUAAGUCCUGUGAAAUACAGGUAAGGGUUAUAGAAUACAAGUAAGUCCUGUGAAAUACAAUUUGGCAUUGUAAAGUACAGGUAAGUCCUGUGAAAUACAGGUAAGAGUUGUAGAAUACCAGUAAGUCCUGUGAAAUACAGGUUAGAGUUGUAGAAUACCAGUAAGUCCUGUGAAAUAGAAGUGAGAGUUGUAGAGUACAGGUAAGUCCUGUGAAAUACAGGUAAGGGUUAUAGAAUAGAAGUUAAGUCCUGUGAAAUACAAGUAAGAGUUGUAGAGUACAGGUAAGUCCUGUGAAAUACAGGUAAGAGUUGUAGAAUACCAGUAAGUCCUGUGAAAUACAAGUGAGAGUUGUAGAGUACAGGUAAGUCCUGUGAAAUACAGGUAAGGGUUAUAGAACACAAGUAAGUCCUGUGAAAUACAAUUUGGCAUUGUAGAGUACAGGUAAGUCCUGUGAAAUACAGGUUAGAGUUGUAGAAUACCAGUAAGUCCUGUGAAAUAGAAGUGAGAGUUGUAGAAUACAG
ensembl:lncRNA